rnacentral:lncRNA from 1 species
GGGUAAAGCAAAGUCUUCAAGGGAAGAUAACAAAGGAUGAAACAAUGGUGUUGUGUGACUUCCUAGUGUGAAUCACGGCAAUACAGUGAAAGACGGUGAUUUACUGCUUUUGAGGGCGUGCAUGUAUAUGAUUAAGGGAUGGAAGUGCAGGACUCCAAGAUUUACUUCCUUCCCUUUCCAGCAGAACUACCUGAGAGGAGUCAAAUCUACUGAUGGAGUCACUCCAUUAUUCUUAUCUGUGGAGAUCUAGAUCUUGAUUUGAAAGUUUCUGAGAAAAUCUUCAGCUCAGACUUGAGGGUCAACUUUACCAACUGAAGGAUCUGCAUUUAUUGCUCAAUCACAUCUAAUUUGAUGUUCUCUGCAGAUUUAAAAUGUGUGCCUUCUUUUCCAUCACCAAGUCAUCCCUGGGUUACUACUGAACAUCCUUCUCAAUUCCCCCCGACCCAUGGAUGGCUGUUCUCCAUUGUCUAUUUCACCAGAUGUCCUCAAAACAAACAGACAGAAGAAGGAAGUGGCUAACGGAGCUGUGGAGUCCAAGUGUGACUGCCAAGAGGAAUCCAGCAAAGCCAAAAAGCCCAAGCAUGUAGCCCUGCCUGAAGCCCACCACACGCAUGGAAAACCCAGAGGAAAUGAGUGAGGAUCAGUGGGAAGAAGGGAGCCAGCCAGGUUCGAUGCCUUCUCCAUCCGUCAGUGAGGGUGUGGAGAGCCUGCAGGCGUGUGCCUCCCUCUGUAACUUGCUAUUCCUUGUGUAAUGUCAAGUGGAAGUGUAAAGCACCACAAACUGCUCUGAGCAGAGCCCACUUCCCUUCACCCACGGAGAGCGUGAAGCAGUUACACCAACAUCAAUCAAGGAAAACCCACAGGCUGAGCUCACACGGUUGAAGCAGGAAGUUGAAGAUUUGUCCAGGAGCAGAUAGCUGAAGAGAGAGAGAGAGAAGAGAGAAAGGCUUACAGCUCAGGUCCUCUCUCCAUGCUUAGGAACCACUACAAAUGCUACUGCCUUGAGUCUCAUUUUGUUUCCCUCUGGAAACCACAUGUGUACUUUGUUUGCAACAGUAUGGUUCUGCAGGCCAGAAGGCCAAAAUCAAAAGUAUGAGCAGGCUUGAUUUCUUUAGAAGACUCCAAGGGAGAACUGUGUCUCCUUGCUUCUGAUUCUACAUCUCCAUCCAUGGGCCACUGUUUCAGCAACCUCAGCCAGUGCAACACAACCUCAGCCAAGAAGAUUUGUUAAACUUUGGAUGGUGGAGACCUGUGCCUGCUACUUCUCUCAUCUCCUGAUAUGUAAUGCAUAGUGUUCAGGCACCGAGGAAGAGAACCAAUGGCAGAGGCCACAUGUGCAAGCAAGAUGGGAGUCUGGAGAGCCUCAGGCUAAAUCACGAGCACUCAGCGCUCUUCUCUUUGUAAGGGCAACCGGGUCACAUCUGCCAGCAUGGAGCUGCUCUGUCCACAGCCCUAAAAUUUAAUACCUAGAACAAUAAAUGCACUUAAGCACGUCAA